rnacentral:tRNA from 1 species
GCACUAGCUCAGUUGGUUAGAUCAUGGUGCUGAUAAUGCCAAGGUUGCUGGUUCGAUCCUUGUAUGGGACA